rnacentral:rRNA from 1 species
UCGCGGCCUAUCAGCUUGUUGGUGAGGUAAUGGCUCACCAAGGCGACGACGGGUAGCCGGCCUGAGAGGGUGACCGGCCACACUGGGACUGAGACACGGCCCAGACUCCUACGGGAGGCAGCAGUGGGGAAUAUUGCACAAUGGGCGAAAGCCUGAUGCAGCGACGCCGCGUGAGGGAUGACGGCCUUCGGGUUGUAAACCUCUUUCAGUAGGGAAGAAGCGAAAGUGACGGUACCUGCAGAAGAAGCACCGGCUAACUACGUGCCAGCAGCCGCGGUAAUACGUAGGGUGCGAGCGUUAUCCGGAAUUAUUGGGCGUAAAGAGCUCGUAGGCGGUUUGUCGCGUCUGUCGUGAAAGUCCGGGGCUUAACCCCGGAUCUGCGGUGGGUACGGGCAGACUAGAGUGCAGUAGGGGAGACUGGAAUUCCUGGUGUAGCGGUGGAAUGCGCAGAUAUCAGGAGGAACACCGGUGGCGAAGGCGGGUCUCUGGGCCGUAACUGACGCUGAGGAGCGAAAGCGUGGGGAGCGAACAGGAUUAGAUACCCUGGUAGCCCACGCCGUAAACGUUGGGUGCUAGGUGUCGGGGACCUUCCACGUCCUCGGUGCCGCAGCUAACGCAUUAAGCGCCCCGCCUGGGGAGUACGGA